rnacentral:rRNA from 1 species
AUUCACAUGACUCAUGCAGUCGUACGGUACAGGAGCAGCUUGCUUCUCUGCUGACGAGUGGCGGACGGGUGAGUCAUGUCUGGGAACUGCCUGAUGGAGGGCGAUAACUACUGGAAACGGUAGCUAAUACCGCAUAACGUCGCAAGACCAGAGAGGGAGACCUUCGAGCCUCUUGCUAUCACAUGUGUCAAGAUGGCAUUAGCUAGUAGGUGGCUACAGCUCACCUAGCGACGAUGCGUAGCUGUCUGAGAGAUGACAGCACACUGCUCUGAGACACGAUCAGCUUAUACGUAGUCAGCAGUGGGAUAUGCACAUGGCGCAGCUGAUGCAGCAUGCAGCGUGUAUGAGACGCGUCGCUGUACGUACUCAGCAGCCAGAUGCAGUCAGUAUACAUCGCUCAUGACGUACGAGCAGAGAGCACGCUACUCGUGCUAGCAGCGCGACAUACGAGUGCAGCUGAUCGAUACUGACGUCAUCCACUAGCGUGUAGUCAGAGUAGUCUAGCUCACUGACUGCAUCGAUCUGCAGCUGACUCCGAGCGUCGAUCAGCUACGUGAUGCUAGACUGAGAUCAGUGCUAGUGCUGACAGCUAGCUAGUCAGUCGUCACGAUGAACUGAGUCAGCGUACAGUCGAUCAGUGCAUAGCUGCUCGACUACGUAGUCACGCUGAUCGUCGCAGCUGACUCAUGAUGACGGAUCGUCAUCUGAGCAUCGG